AAACCAGCACCUCAAGUGGUCAGGAUGAUUAUUGGGCCUAAAGCAUCCGUAGCCGGCUCUGUAAGUUUUCGGUUAAAUCUGUACGCUUAACGUACAGGCUGCCGGGAAUACUGCAGAGCUAGGGAGUGGGAGAGGUAGACGGUACUCGGGAGGAAGUGGUAAAAUGCUUUGAUCUCUCGAUGACCACCUGUGGCGAAGGCGGUCUACCAGAACACGUCCGACGGUGAGGGAUGAAAGCUGGGGGAGCAAACCGGAGUAGAAACCCGAGUAGUCC
rnacentral:rRNA from 1 species